rnacentral:rRNA from 1 species
AACGAACGCUGGCGGCAGGCCUAACACAUGCAAGUCGAACGCUCCGCAAGGAGAGUGGCAGACGGGUGAGUAACACGUGGGAAUCUUCCUAUCGGUACGGAAUAGCUCAGGGAAACUUGAGGUAAUACCGCAUACGCCCUUCGGGGGAAAGAUUUAUCGCCGACAGAUGAGCCCGCGUCUGAUUAGCUAGUUGGUGGGGUAAUGGCCUACCAAGGCGACGAUCAGUAGCUGGUCUGAGAGGAUGACCAGCCACACUGGGACUGAGACACGGCCCAGACUCCUACGGGAGGCAGCAGUGGGGAAUAUUGGACAAUGGGCGCAAGCCUGAUCCAGCCAUGCCGCGUGAGUGACGAAGGUCUUCGGAUUGUAAAGCUCUUUUGCCAGGGACGAUAAUGACGGUACCUGGAGAAUAAGCCCCGGCUAACUUCGUGCCAGCCGCCGCGAUAACAC